GAUGAACGUUGGCGGCGUGCUUAACACAUGCAAGUCGAACGGGAAACAUUUUAUUGAAGCUUCGGCGGAUUUAGCUUGUUUCUAGUGGCGGACGGGUGAGUAAAGCGUGGGUAACCUGCCUUAUACCGGGGGAUAACAGCCAGAAAUGGCUGCCAAUACCGCAUAAGCGCACGGAGACGCAGUGCUCGGUGUGAAAAACUCCGGUGGUAUAAGAUGGACCCGCGUUGGAUUAUCGAGUUGGCAGGGCAGCGGCCGACCAAGGCGACGAUCCACAUCCGGCCUGAGAGGGUGAACGGCCACAUUGGGACUGAGACACGGCCCAGACUCCUACGGGAGGCAGCAGUGGGGAAUAUUGCACAAUGGGGGAAACCCUGAUGCAGCGACGCCGCGUGAAGGAAGAAGUAUCUCGGUAUGUAAACUUCUAUCAGCAGGGAAGAUAAUGACGGUACCUGACUAAGAAGCCCCGGCUAACUACGUGCCAGCCGCCGCGGUAA
rnacentral:rRNA from 1 species